rnacentral:rRNA from 1 species
AUGGGAGGCUACUACUGCUUGUUUCCCUGCUUGCUCGUCUGCUUUCUGCUCCACACACUUGGCAGCCACUCCCUGAAUCAGACAUGCAAUCCCACUGACCUGGAGGCGCUUCUCUCCUUUUCCAGCAGCUUGGAUAGGAAGGGCAGCAGGCUUGUCGGGUGGGGUCCCAACGACACAGCGUGCUGUUCUUGGACCGGCGUCUCUUGUGAUCUUGGGAGGGUUGUUGGGUUGGAUCUCUCCAACAAGAGCCUUCAUGGCGGCAUCUCCUCAGCAAUCAGCUUGCUUGAUGGCCUUGUGACUCUAAACCUCUCUGGCAACUCUCUCCAUGGUCAGCCACCGGUUGGGCUUGGCCGGUUAGCAAGGAUGCGGAUUCUCGACCUCAGCAUGAACAUGCUCUCCGGCGCGUUCCCGACGAGUGAACACGGCUUCCCAGCGAUUGAGGUUGUGAAUGUCUCCUUCAACCAAUUCAAGGGACCACAUCCUGUGUUCCCUGGCGCAAUGAACCUGACGGUUCUUGAUAUCUCGAGCAAUGCCUUUUCUGGUGGCAUCAACAUCAUGGUCCUCUGUGUUGCGCCGGUCAAGGCCCUGCGAUUUUCCAGGAAUAAGUUCACCGGUCAGGUCCUCACCGGCUUCGGCCAGUGCAAGAUGCUUACUGAGCUCUCUAUUGACAGCAGUGGCCUUACCGGAAACCUCCCCAGCGACCUUUACACUAUAUCAGAGUUGAGGAGGCUGAGCUUACGAGAUAACCUGCUCUCUGGUAAUCUCGGCGAGAACCUGGGUAACUUCUCUCAGCUUAUCCAUAUUGACCUGUCAUAUAACAUGUUCCGUGGCAUCAUCCCUGACAUGUUUGGAGGUUUGAGGAGGCUGGAGUUCUUAAACUUGUGCUCAAAUUUGUUAACUGGCACAUUGCCUGCUUCCCUGUCGAGCUGCCCAAUGCUGCGAGUGAUCAACCUAAGGAACAACUCGCUGUCGGGCAAGAUUACCAUUGACUUCCGUUUAUUACCAAGGCUGAUCGUUUUGGAUGCAGGGGCCAACAUGCUGAGUGGUCCUAUACCUCCAGAUCUCAUGUGGUGCACUGAGUUGAGGACACUGAACCUUGGAAAGAACAUGCUUGAUGGGGACAUAACAGAGAGCUUUAAGAAUUUGCGAUCCCUGUCGCACCUUUCGCUUGAUCGUAAUGGCUUCACCAACUUGUCAUCCGCAUUACGAGUCUUGCAGCACCUGCCCAAACUGACAACUUUGGUGCUCACCAAGAACUUCCAUGGUGGUGAGACCCUGCCUAUGGAUGGCAUCAAUGGGUUUAAGAGCAUGCAGGUGUUUGUUUUGGCAAACUGUGCGCUCUCCGGCAUGAUUCCGCCUUGGCUGAAAAGUAUGGAGAGCCUCAGAGCGCUGGACCUUUCAUGGAAUAAGUUGAAUGGAAAGAUCCCACUAUGGUUGGGCAAUCUCAAUGAUCUCUUCUACGUCGACCUGUCAAACAAUUUGUUCAGUGGGGAGCUGCCUGAGAGCUUUACACAGAUGAAGGGUUUAAUUUCAAGUAAUAGUUCGAGUGAGCAUGCAUCAAUGGAGGAUUUCCCAUUAUUUAUCAAGAAGAAUUCAUGUAAUAAAGGUUUGCAGUACAACCAUGUCAGCAGCUUCCCGCCGUCGCUGAUCCUGUCCAAUAACUUGCUUGUUGGGCCAGUCUUGUGGGGCCUUGGCAAUCUUGUGAAGCUUCAUGUGUUGGACUUGGGCUGGAAUAACUUAUCGGGGUCAAUUCCUGAUGAGUUGUCAACCAUUUCAAGCUUGGAAGAGCUAAAUUUAACCCACAAUGGCCUCAGUGGGAGCAUACCAGAAUCUCUAGCAAAGUUGACAUUUCUCUCCACGUUUGAUGUCUCGUACAACAACCUGACUGGACUAAUCCCAGCAGGGGGUCAAUUUUCCACAUUCACAAAUGAGAAUUUCGUGGGCAAUGCUGGACUAUGCCUUCGUUGGAAUGGCCCCUGCUUUGGAAAGGCUCCAUUUGAAGAAGGAAGUGAUGGCACCGAUACCAUAUCCGCAAUGCUCACGAUGACAUACAUCACUGUGGAAGUGGGAUUCGCUUUCGGGCUUUUGACUGUCUGUAACAUACUGUUCUUCGCAAGGGCUUGGAGGGCCGCAUAUUUUCUGGCGGUCGACAGGUUCUUUGAUAAGCUCUAUGUAAUGACAAUGGUGAAGGUGAACAAGCUCACAAGAAUUUGGGAGGAUAAAGAUCAUCUUUAG